GAGAAGGGCCCCCAAACCCCCCUGGUGGAAACAUACCUUAUGUUGCCUCGGCGGAUCAGCCCGCGCCCCGUAAAAAGGGACGGCCCGCCGCAGGAACCCUAAACUCUGUUUUUAGUGGAACUUCUGAGUAUAAAAAACAAAUAAAUCAAAACUUUCAACAACGGAUCUCUUGGUUCUGGCAUCGAUGAAGAACGCAGCAAAAUGCGAUAAGUAAUGUGAAUUGCAGAAUUCAGUGAAUCAUCGAAUCUUUGAACGCACAUUGCGCCCGCCAGUAUUCUGGCGGGCAUGCCUGUUCGAGCGUCAUUUCAACCCUCAAGCCCAGCUUGGUGUUGGGAGCUGCAGUCCUGCUGCACUCCCCAAAUACAUUGGCGGUCACGUCGAGCUUCCAUAGCGUAGUAAUUUACACAUCGUUACUGGUAAUCGUCGCGGCCACGCCGUUAAACCCCAACUUCUGAAUGUUGACCUCGGAUCAGGUAGGAAUACCCGCUGAACUUAAGCAUAUCAAUAAGCGGAGGAAA
rnacentral:rRNA from 1 species